rnacentral:lncRNA from 1 species
UUUACUUUGGUGUAGAUGUUAGCACUUUACUCGCUCUGAUAUCAUUAGUUGUUGGUUACUUCACUCUUUCUAUUUGUCCUAUUACUUGCUUUUACUUCCGCUUUUAUUCUAGACGCCUUAUAUGUGUAGACAUAUGGCGGGUCUGGGCACGCUACCGGGAGGGCCUCCGCCGGUCCCGGGGCGUGACAGAUAUGUAUCAACACUGUCCAGUAUGCACUUUGUUAGUAUGUUUUGGCAAGAUCUCGUACGAAGAUAGUUAGAUUUUUAAGGAAAAAACUUCAAAUACCACAUGGGUGGUUUCAUACUUUUUCAUUUUAGUACCUUAUGGUUUAAGUAGUAUCAAUUUAGUAUCCUGUGAUUUUAUUUUUAUCUUUUUAUUAUUGAUUUCACUAAUUUUUUCGUUAAAUCAGUGAUAAAGUUAAAACUAAAAGGUACUAAAGUGAAUAUUCGAUAAAUAUUGGUAGGGUAUCUAAAGUUUUUGUAUAUAAUUUAAUAAAAUAUCAACGAAGAAGCUGACGAAAAGAUAAAAAUAAAAUUAUAAAACACUAAAUUGAUACACUUUAAAUUUUAGGGUACUAAGGUGAGAAAGCGCGAAACCACGGGAGUUUUAUUUGAAGUUUAUCUAAUUUUAAUUUAAAGAAAAAGAAAAAGAAAAAGAAAAGGUUUU